rnacentral:lncRNA from 1 species
AUGCCGCCCGCACCAGCAGCAAUAGCUGUUCCCUCAGUUACACUUGAUGAAAAUAGCCCAGACAGCUACGACGACUCCCACACUGACAGCUAUGAUGAGCCUAGCACGAGUAGCCGCGGUGACUCCAGCAUGAGCAGCCGUGCUGACCCCAGCACCAGCAGCUGCGACGACUCCUGCACGAGUAGCCGCGGUGACCCCAGCACCAAGAGCUGCAACGACCCUAGCACCAGCAGCUGUGAUGACCCCAGCACCAGCAGGUGCGACGACUCCUGCACGAGCAGCUGCGAAAAGCCUAGCACCAACAGCUGCGACGAGCCCAGCACCAGCAGCUAUGACAAGCCCAGUACCAGCAGCUGCGAUGAGCCCAGCAUCAGCAGCUAUGAUGAGCCCAGCACCAGCAGCUGCAACCCCAGUACCACCAGCUGCGAUGACCCCAGCACCAGCAACGACCCUAACAUGAGCAGCUGCGACGACCCCAGCAGCACCAGCAGCUGCGACGACCCCAGCACCAGCAGCUGCGACGACCCCAGCACCAGCAGCUGCGACGACCCCAGCACCAGCAGCUGCGACGAACCAAGCAUCAGCAGCUGCAACGACCCCAGCACGAGCAGCUAUGACGACCCUAGCAGCACCAGCAGCUGCGACGAGCCCAGCAUCAGCAGCUGCGACGAGCCCAGCAUCAGCAGCUGCGACGACCCUAGCAUGAGCAGCUAUGACGACCCUAGCUGCAUCAGCAGCUGCGAAGACCCCAGCACGAGCAGCUGCGUAGACCACUCUCAGCACCAUCUUCUUGUGCUUCUCAUUAGUUGCCUUGAAGGACUCAGCCAUCCACAUCAGCUCUGCCUCCAGCUCCCUCAGCAGGGCCUCUUUGUCCUUCAUCAGCUCUGCAUUCAGUGGGGACUCUGUCUUCGGCAGCAUUUCCUUUCGGCACCACUCCAGCAACUGCCUGCGCUGCACUACAAGCUUCUCAGAGGAGGGAAACGUUCUGGGAGAGGAAACAGCAAAGAUUAG